CUCUGUCCAGUCCCUCCUUCUUCGGGACACCAGUCCCUGGAUUAAGAGCCACUCUAAUGGCUUCAUCUUUAACUUGCUUCCCUCUUUGAAGACCGUUUCCAAAUCACAUCCCAUUCACGGGAGCUGGAGCCCAGGACUCAGACGUGCUUUCCUGGGGGACAUAGUCCCCGAGCAGCUGGCUCAGCUUGUGCUUUGCUGGGGGACACAGUCCCUGAGCAGCCAGCUCAGCUCUGCAGGGGGUCAGGGGCUUGCACAGAGCUGCUUCGUCCUGCGGGUUCUUGGUGCGGUGAAGGAUCCAUCCUGGGGAUGUGCCAUGCCACUUCUGGCACUUACUCCGGAUGAAACCACAAAGUCUAAAUAAUACAUUAGCACGCGAAGAUCACUGAGCCUCUUCCACCCUCUGCGCCGACCCCGGUUUCCAUCUAAAUCGAUAUCUGCGCUGCCUCGAUGGGGCCCAGCAUGGGCUGUGCUUGGCAUACAGAGCAGCUGCACCUGAGCAGCAGCCGAGGGGUCUUAGGGAAGCUGCUGCCCCUUCCAAACACGACUGCCUUUGAAGCCCCUAUUAAUUGUCAAUAACAACUGCUCCCUCCAUUACAAAAGGAAUUGAAAGCGAAAAUAAGACCCGGACAAUAGAACAUAAACGGAAGAGCAAAUCCCACUCCGGAUUGGAAUUGUCUGCUGGGCUCAUUAAUCCCUGGCCUGGCGCUGGGAGCGUGGGCGCCGCUUUUCUUAGGGUUUGCUUUCUGAUCUUGUGUCAAUUACUGCACAAAGCCUUCACACCACACAGCGAAUCCUUUCUACUCAAAGGUCAAGUCCUUCACAGAACAGGGCUGCACGUGUCUUUGUCCAGCGCACGUUUGCCUGCUUUCCUCGGGACACCUGUCACUGCAAAGCCCAGCUGCCUGCUUACCCAUCUAAGAAGAAAGGCUCAUUCUGACAGUCACAAACCACCCACCGCCCACAAUCAAGCAG